UGUUCCCGAUCUGGUAGAGUAGCAUCUGGUUGGUGGUGACCAUCUAAUACCAGCCAGGGACAAAGCAACCCCUUGUUUAUCCCAGCUUGGCUUUUGGUCUGUUCCCAUGCUUGGUUCAUGCCUUGGACACAUGG
rnacentral:snoRNA from 10 species